GGGCGGUUAGCUCAGUCCGGGAGAGCGCUACCCUUACAAGGUAGAUGCCACUGGUUCAAACCCAGUACCGCCCA
rnacentral:tRNA from 1 species